GACGAACGCUGGCGGCGUGGAUUAGGCAUGCAAGUCGAACGGUAUCAUCCUUUCGGGGGUGAGAGAGUGGCGAACUGGUGAGUAACACGUAGGUUAUCUACCCUCAAGACGGGGACAACCCAGGGAAACUUGGGCUAAUACCGGAUGUGAGCAACUUUUAGUUGUUUGAAAGGUGGCGUAAGCUGUCGCUUGGGGAUGAGCCUGCGUCCUAUUAGUUAGUUGGUGAGGUAACGGCUCACCUAGGCAAUGAUAGGUAGGCGGCCUUAACGGGUGGUCGCCCACACUGGGAUUGAGAUACGGCCCAGACUCCGUACGGGAGGCAGCAGUCGAGAAUAGUCUACAAUGGUCGGAAGACUGAUAGUGCGACGCCGCGUGAACGAUGAAUCCCUUCGGGUGUAAAGUUCUUUUAUAUGUGAGCAGUGCUUCUUAUAUUAACAGUAUGGGGAAGAGAUAUUAGCAUAUAGAAUAAGCAACGGCUAACUCCGUGCCAGCAGCCGACGGUAAAACG
rnacentral:rRNA from 1 species